ACGGCGAGUGAAGCGGCAACAGCUCGAAUUUGAAAUCUGGCCUCGGCCCGAGUUGUAAUCUGUAGAGGAUGCUUUUGGCGCGGUGCCUUCCGAGUGCCCUGGAACGGGACGCCACAGAGGGUGAGAGCCCCGUAUGGUCGGACACCAAGCCUGUGUAAAGCUCCUUCGACGAGUCGGGUAGCUUGGGAAUGCUGCUCUAAGUGGGAGGUAAACUUCUUCUAAAGCUAAAUACUGGCCAGAGACCGAUAGCGCACAAGUAGAGUGAUCGAAAGAUGAAAAGCACUUUGAAAAGAGGGUCAAAUAGUACGUGAAAUUGUUGAAAGGGAAGCGCUCAUGACCAGACUUGCGCCGGGCUGAUCAUCCAGUGGUCUCCACUGGUGCACUCUGCCCGGCUCAGGCCAGCGUCGGCUGUCACGGGGGGACAAAAGCACUGGGAAAGUAGCUCUCUCCGGGGAGUGUUAUAGCCCUAUGCAGAAUACCCCCGCGGCGGCCGAGGUCCGCGCUCUGCAAGGACGC
rnacentral:rRNA from 1 species